UUUGAAGGGGUUUUGUCUUUGGGUUUUGUGGAGGUGCUGGUCUACAAUGCCUGCCAGCAGCCCUCCAAUUGGCACCCCACCCACUUCACCGACAUCCGCCUCGACUCUUUCGAGAAGUCCCUUGCCGUCUCUUCUGUCGGAGCCUUUCACUGUGCUCAACAGGUACGAACAUAGUGACGUAAUCAAUAGUUCAGAUUCACAGAAAAGCAAUAUAAACUGAUCUGAAAAUUUAUAUUAGACCAUAAAAGUAAGAACUAACUUAAUUUAACGGUUCAUAUUCACAGUCUGACAAAAUUAUUUGGUAAUAAAAUUAACAUCUAUGUUAAACAUAUGGGAUUAAUUAAUUGAAGGUUCUUCCGGGAAUGGUGGAAAGAGGAAAAGGGACGAUUUUGUUUACAGGGUGUUCAGCUUCACUCAAUGGCAUUGCUGGCUACUCUGAGCUCUGUAAGUACAACUACUUCAACAUAUUGAUUUUCAAAGUUUAAUUUCUUACCGUGGCCGAAGAAAUUUAUGCCUGAUGUUAACAACACGUGACAUGCGAGGUUAUUAGGCUGUGGAAAAUUUGCGUUGAGAGCACUGUCACAGUGCCUGUCCAUGGAGUUUCAACCGCUGGGUGUACACAUAGCGCAUGUUAUCAUC
rnacentral:lncRNA from 1 species